rnacentral:rRNA from 1 species
UACGGGGGAGCAAGCGUUGUUCGGAUUUACUGGGCGUAAAGGGCGCGUAGGCGGCCACCGCAAGUCGACUGUGAAAUCUCCGGGCUUAACCCGGAAAGGUCAGCCGAUACUGCGGGCUAGAGUGCAGAAGGGGCAACUGGAAUUCUCGGUGUAGCGGUGAAAUGCGUAGAUAUCGAGAGGAACACCUGCGGCGAAGGCGGGUUGCUGGGCUGACACUGACGCUGAUGCGCGAAAGCUAGGGGAGCGAACGGG